rnacentral:rRNA from 1 species
AGCGGAUGACGGGAGCUUGCUCCUUGAUUCAGCGGCGGACGGGUGAGUAAUGCCUAGGAAUCUGCCUGGUAGUGGGGGACAACGUUUCGAAAGGAACGCUAAUACCGCAUACGUCCUACGGGAGAAAGCAGGGGACCUUCGGGCCUUGCGCUAUCAGAUGAGCCUAGGUCGGAUUAGCUAGUUGGUGGGGUAAUGGCUCACCAAGGCGACGAUCCGUAACUGGUCUGAGAGGAUGAUCAGUCACACUGGAACUGAGACACGGUCCAGACUCCUACGGGAGGCAGCAGUGGGGAAUAUUGGACAAUGGGCGAAAGCCUGAUCCAGCCAUGCCGCGUGUGUGAAGAAGGUCUUCGGAUUGUAAAGCACUUUAAGUUGGGAGGAAGGGCAGUAAGCUAAUACCUUGCUGUUUUGACGUUACCGACAGAAUAAGCACCGGCUAACUCUGUGCCAGCAGCCGCGGUAAUACAGAGGGUGCAAGCGUUAAUCGGAAUUACUGGGCGUAAAGCGCGCGUAGGUGGUUUGUUAAGUUGGAUGUGAAAGCCCCGGGCUCAACCUGGGAACUGCAUCCAAAACUGGCAAGCUAGAGUACGGUAGAGGGUG